rnacentral:rRNA from 1 species
AGCGAACGCUGGCGGCAGGCCUAACACAUGCAAGUCGAACGAACCUUUCGGGGUUAGUGGCGGACGGGUGAGUAACACGUGGGAACGUGCCUUUAGGUUCGGAAUAACUCAGGGAAACUUGUGCUAAUACCGAAUGUGCCCUUCGGGGGAAAGAUUAAUCGCCUUUAGAGCGGCCCGCGUCUGACUAGCUAGUUGGUUGAGGUAAUGGCUCACCAAGGCGACGAUCAGUAGCUGGUCUGAGAGGAUGAUCAGCCACAUUGGGACUGAGACACGGCCCAAACUCCUACGGGAGGCAGCAGUGGGGAAUCUUGCGCAAUGGGCGAAAGCCUGACGCAGCCAUGCCGCGUGAAUGAUGAAGGUCUUAGGAUUGUAAAAUUCUUUCACCGGGGACGAUAAUGACGGUACCCGGAGAAGAAGCCCCGGCUAACUUCGUG